GACCAAAGCCAGUUUUUCAGCCCUUAACAAGAACCUGGCUUCACCCAGCCAAACAUGAGUUAACGUAUCCAUUUUACACACGAACAAACUGAGGCGCAGAGAUGAUCACAGCUUGUUGGUGGCAAACUCCGCUAGGGCCUUCUCUGCUACCCUAAGGAGGUCCGACCGUAUGUUUUGGACCCCUUAACUCGGGAUACCGAUAAACGAAAAUUAAUAGGGUGUUGGAUGUUUUAAAUGUGUGCGGGAAUGUCAUUAUAUUGGCUAGAAUCAAACCUUAUUUAGACUUGUUUUGCACUUUUGUACACUUUAGUAAUUUUUAGUUUUAAUCAUAAGGGAGUUAAAGGCGAACACAACUGGUAUUUUUUUUUUUUUUUUUUUUUUUUUGAGACAGGGUCUCGCUCGGUCACCCAGGCUGGAGUGUAAUGCUGCGAUCUCGGCUCACUGCAACGUCCGCCUCCCGGGUUCAAGAGAUUCUCCUGCCUCAGCCUCCCGAAUAGCUGGGCGUGCCACCACGCCCGGCUGAUUUUUGUAUUUUUAGUAGAGACGGGGUUUCACCAUGUUGGCCAGGUUGGUCUCGAACUCCUGACCUCAAAUGAUCCGCCCGCCUUGGCCUCCCAGAAUGCUGGGAUUACAGGCGUGAGCCACCGCGCCAGGCCGACAACUGGUAUCUUAAGGCUUAGGGCCUCUGGUAGAAGUGAGCUCCACCUCCCUUCCUGUGUAGAAGGAAUCACCUGGCGGUCUUGUGAAACUGCAGCUUCUAAUGGGCAAGUCAGAGGGGAAGCCUGAGACAUGGCAUUUCCAGCACGUUCGGGGAGUGAAGAUGCUGUCGGCUGCCACCCUCCCUGCAAGGAGCCAGGGGAUAGAUGACCUCUACGCAAACUCUCCCCUCAAUGGGAAGUAGAAUCUCUUUCUCCACCUCUUCAAUAUGGCUGGCCCUGGAACUUCCCUUGGCACACAGAAUGCAGCAGAAUUGGCUUCAUGUUGUUUCUAAGCCUUGGCCUCAGAGGCCUUGCAUGCUUCCUAACCCUGGCUCUAGGAAACUUGCUGCUGUCAUGUAAGCAAGCCCAGGCUAACCUACUGAAUGUUGGUGUGUCCCAGUCAAAUCCAGCACUGCAACCAAUAGCCAGGCAGCCACCAGACAUGUGAGUGGGGCCACCUCACACCAGCCAACCUCCACCAAGUCAUCAGAUGUAUGAGUGAGAACAGCCCAGAACAACUGAGCCCGUCCAGACCAGCGGAACAACCAAGCUGACCAGUAGACUUAGGAGCAGUAAACAGAUGAUUGUUAUGGAAGCCAUUCUGUUUAGGGUGUGUGUGUUAUUGCUUGCAUCCAAAUACAUCCUAUCUCAUCUAAUGAGAAAAGGCCCUGCUCAAGGGCUUUUGCAGCUGUAGUUGGGCGCCGGAAGUGUCUUUGUGGUCAUUUCUUACUCCAUACACGGGGAGAUCAAGGCUCAGACCAGGUAGUGUGACUGUGGACAACACUUUCCUUACCCCUCUGUGACACUUAAAUCAAUGAAGCAGAUUCACAGAAGCAUGCAUGCUCACUGAACACAGUAUUUGCAUUCCUACCUCCAAACCUUUGCUCCACCCAUGCAUCCAGUAAGAAUGCCUACUUCCCUCCUCUCCUCCAUCGAGUUCUUUCUUUGAGUUCUACCUUCCCUAGUCUUCCUCCACUGCACCAACCCACGGUGAUCCCUGUCUCUUCCAAAUGCUUUGUAACAUGGUAGGCAUCACUCACUUGUGACUCAUUGGACCAUUUUAAAACUUGGUUUUCUGUGUCUCUUUUCCAACAAAAUUACAAAUUCUUUGAGGGUAAAAGUCAGGCCUAAUAGUUCUCUGUACUCCUAGUAGUGCCAGUGUGGUAAAAAUUUAACUUGACAAUUAGCAAAACCAAUAAAUUCCUUACACUAUUCUGUUCCUGUAGGUAAUCAGUAUAUGAAUAUGGAUUCCUAUGUGAUGAUUUUCUGGUCUAUUUUGUCCCUUUUUUUUUUUUGUUACUUUAACCAGGCCAUAACAUAAAGGUUAUGCCAUUUGUUACUGUCAAGCUUAAUUAAGCCCAUUAUAAUUCGUUAACCCCUGUGCUUGCUUUGUAAUUAACAUUGAUUAACACAAACAAGUACAAAAUAGGCCAUCAGCACUUUCCAGAAGUGCUGAUUACAAUUACAUUGGUAAUUCAAUACGGUAUAGAAGAUGGCAGGAUAGUAACUUGCACUCUGUUUACAUAAGGAGACAAAUGCUACCAUGCAAAACUAAGCCAAGAAACAAAAUACUUUCCUCAUCCAACUCACUGAUUAAACCCUUACCCUGUUAACUCACCCUAUGACUGUGUAAACCUCCAGUAAGAUUAUUGAAGGCACAGCUCCAAGUAACUUGCUUAAUUGCAUUCCUGGGACAAAAGAGGGAAGCGCUUCAAAGCUGACAGACAGAUGGUAGAGUGUCCAGUCACAGCAAAGCAGGCCCCGAGGCUCAUGACAGACAACUCCAGGGCUGAGAUCUCAUUUGUAGCUCUGGGAUAAAGUCCAGGGUUUGAUGGCAGCAGGCUGAAGUGUAAAGAUGCUCAACAAUGCGCACCCCAGAGACACUGAAUCUGAAAAAGCUUAGAGUGAAUAAAAAUCUGGAAAUGAACUCUGUCUGUCUAUUCACCAUUCCCCCCAUAAAAAAAUUCCUAUAUUCCGGAUGGUGUUCAAGUUCCCUUUCCACAGGACCUCAGCAGUCAGGGAGGUGCUCCUGCAAUCUAUGUGAAGGAGAUUUCACCAUGCCCACAUGGGAAUACAGUAGAUUGCCAGUAGGGAUGCCACACCUUUGCAUUUCCUCGUAUUUCCAGGAACAAAGCUGGGGUGCCUAGGAGCUGCAGCAGUUUUUCUUCUGUGUAAAAUAAGCAAGCAGGACUCUGCCCCACUGCACUCCAGGGAAGGAUUAAGAGAAUUGAUAUCAUCCAAAUCAAUUGGCCCUGUGCAGAUGACUUGAUAAUGAGGCCAUUGAGUUUUUAUGGUUCACUAUUAUUGCUACAAAAAUUAUGCUGCAGAAAUCAUUCAAAUGCUCAAAAAGGAGCAUUAGUACGAAACUGGGUGUUCCAAAGUUGUUGCUGAGAGGUGUGUAAUGUUCCUGAAGAUCCCCAAGGCACUAAGACUUCUCUGUACAUGAAUGACUCAUAGAGAAGAAAUACACCAGAUGAAAAUAUAUGGAGAAGUUUGCCGAAUGUCAUAUAACUU
rnacentral:lncRNA from 1 species